UUUACCCAGUGUGAGGUGGUGCCCAGCUGGAGAAGCGAAGACAGGAGAAGUACCUCACUUGGAUCCAGGGUCUGCUGGCUCUGAGCAGGUGUCAUCUUGGUUGGUGGGACUGAUAACAAUGUAACAUUGGAGUGGAUGUGCUUGCAUUAGAAAGGAUUCAAGCACAUCAAAUUGGGAAGCGAUGGUUCAAAUCCGGCACCCUACAUGAGCCAAUCACGGCUUGCGGAGUGGCAGCCAAUGGGAAGUGGCCGCAGAGAGCCAAUCAGGGCUUGCCGCAUCAUAGCCCCAUCCCCUCCCAUAUUAGGAGCUGUGGAGCGGGAGAGCUCAUUCAGUCAGUGGAGAGGUAGCAGAAAAGAGCUCCUGAAGAGAAGAGAUCCAGCGGCCAUGGAAGAGGCCAAAAGCCAUGCGAUCAAGGAAAAAGGCGGCAAUGGCAGACCCGAAAGAGGCGGAACAUAGAAGCCGUCUGUAAGAAGCGAAGGACCGGAGAGUGCUGCAGUGUGUGGGAAGAAAAGAGCUAACAAAGUUCUCCAAUCGCUCCAGAUUUUGCAUCUGGUCUGCAUACUAGGAUCAUCUUAAACAAAAACAGCCUGAAGGUGGGAAGAUGCAACCAGAGUUCAAUUUGGUAGGAGAGAAGCAGACGAAGAGAGAAGCAGAGGAAGAAACAUGACAUCUGCAUACUAGUGCUGUCUAAAUGUGAUCGCAGUCAAAAGUCCACGGUUCUCUCGCUUGCCAUUAGCGCACAACAAGCAGUUACAAGUAUUGUACCAAAACUGCUGCUUGUGCUUAAUUGGCGUGAAGGGGAUUGCUGCAGAACCCCGGCUUUCAUCUGACAGCAAUAAAGACUAACUGAAUCUCUAAAGAUGUGGUGUAAUAAAAAACAAUUAACAAUUCUGUAAAGCGACACUCAUUUCAAUUACCUAUUAAAUUCAAUGGUUUAUUCACACACACUAAUCUGUCCACUGAAAUGAAUGGACAAACUGAAAUUAUUUAUUCAAAGUAAUCAAAAGCAAGACAAAGCAAGCAGAUGUCAUAUUAAAUACGUAGGUUCUAUUUUGAUAUGCAGUUGCACAGGUUUGGAGUUGUGUUACCGGCGGCCGUGAUCCCGGCGGUCAGCAUCCCAACGCCGGGAUCCCGUCCGCAGAAUGUCGGCAGGAGGAGACGAGCGCAAUGCCAAAAGUUCAAUUCCCACUCUAUGGGUGUUGCAGACACUCAUGAGUGGGAAUAGCUCCUGUUAGUCGGCAUGGUGGGAUGUAGGGGUCGGUAUUGUGACCCUGCCGGUCACAUAACUACACCCUGUUGCAUGCAAGGUGAAGAAUUGUAACACUGGGGACCUAAUAAAUACACAGAAUGCAGAAUAAAACAUUGAUAACUGUUUUCAGCAAAUAAGUAAAGGUACUGUAAGUAAUGUUAAACAAUAUAAAAAAAAAAUCAGGGAAUAUAAAAAAACAAAAAUAAAAAAACAACAUACAGUAUGCAAAUAAAUACAGUGCAGUAUUAGGAUAUUUGU